UCAGUAAUAAAAAAUAACACAGAAAUACCACCUCCCCUUAUACCACACCACUGUAGCAAACAAUAAUAAUAAAAGCCUUGACAAUACGGCGCAGCUAAUGCGCAGACUCGUCAAAUGUCAUAAAUUUGGCCAUACCUGUCGUUCCGAUUCAGUUUAUUGUGAAAAGGAUUAGCGAAAACAACUACGAAGAUAAAAUCUUCAACCUAUCAAAGAAUAUUCACUCCAUAACUGCGCUUCGAAGCUGCUAAAGCGGAUACCAAAACAGUGGCUGAAUUUUAAUGAAAGCUAAAUUUUGCAAAAUGGAAAAUUUUGUUAAAAGGAAUUUCUUUCGAAGUCAAGUGCCAAUAAAAUAAAAUCAGAAACAAACAAAUAACAAAACGGAGUACAACAAAUAAGAAUCUUCAAUUUAAAAUGAGCCAAACUGAGUUUAUUCAACGACGCCGUAGUUUUGAGAUUCAAACUGCGACAUCACAAAAAAAUGGCUAUCUAAGAAAUUACCCACCUAA